AUUGAACGCUGGCGGCAUGCCUUACACAUGCAAGUCGAACGGCAGCACGGGAGCAAUCCUGGUGGCGAGUGGCGAACGGGUGAGUAAAGUAUAGGAACGUGCCCAGUCGUGGGGGAUAACGUAGCGAAAGUUACGCUAAUACCGCAUACGAUCUAUGGAUGAAAGCGGGGGAUCGCAAGACCUCGCGCGAUUGGAGCGGCCGAUAUCAGAUUAGGUAGUUGGUGGGGUAAAGGCUCACCAAGCCGACGAUAUGUAGCUGGUCUGAGAUGACGACCAGCCACGCUGGGACGGGGACACCGCCUGGACUCCUACGGGAGCCAGCAGGAGGGAAUUUUGAACAAUGGGCGAAAGCCUGAUCCAGCCAUGCCGCGUGCAGGAUGAAGACCUUCGGGUUGUAAACUGCUUUUGUACGGAACUAAAAGGUUUGGCCUAAUAAGCUGAGCUCAUGACGGUACCGUAAGAAUAAGCACCGGCUAACUACGUGCCAGCCGCCGCAGUAA
rnacentral:rRNA from 1 species